AGAUCAUCACUGGGCUUAAAGCGUGCGCAGGCGGUUUUGUAAGACAGAGGUGAAAUCCCCGGGCUCAACCUGGGAACUGCCUUUGUGACUGCAAGGCUGGAGUGCGGCAGAGGGGGAUGGAAUUCCGCGUGUAGCAGUGAAAUGCGUAGAUAUGCGGAGGAACACCGAUGGCGAAGGCAAUCCCCCUGGGCCUGCACUGACGCUCAUGCACGAAAGCGUGGGGAGCAAACA
rnacentral:rRNA from 1 species